rnacentral:lncRNA from 1 species
AAGAGAGACUUGCUCUUUGUAUUAACGUGUACAUGUGUGUGUUUAUCUUUACAUAAAACUUUUAUUGUCACUCUUAACAAAAAUGAGUGAAAAUACCAUACAUUUAUUAUCCUUUCAAGUUUAAGACUUCCUGAUUAUGUCAUACUAUAUUUUUAAAUUCAAUUGAGUUCAAUUCACGUUUUCAUGCUGAGCACAGGAUCACUCCCUAGGAGAUAUUUUGUUCCAAAUGAUGUGCGGGGGACUCACUCUUGGCAAAGGAUGGGACCCUAGAUGCCUAGAUUUUUAGCCAUCUAUGAGACAAUCUUACAAAUGAUUUAUUCCACAGAACUUUCUUCAUUUCUGGGAGGGUGAAAUGGCUCAGUGGAUCAGGCACUCACCGCACAAGUCUGACAACCUGCGCUUAACCCCUGGACCCCACACAAAGGUGGAAGGAAGGGUACCAAAGAUCAUGUCGUAGAGGAAAACAUCCUGCCAGCCAAUCAAUCUCAGGUAAGCAGUAAGCUCGCCAAUGAAAGGUGAAGCUCAGGAAUAGAGUGCUUGCUUAGGAUGCAGCUCUGGGUUCAUCCGUAGUGCUAUAUAAUAAUCAUAAUAAAUAAUAAUAAUGUUUCAUAUAUUAUUUUAUUCAAUUAAGCAAGUUUCCUCUACAUUUGUGCUGUUAUCAGAUUAAAUAUUCUUUUUGUUUGUUUGUUUGUUUGUUUCUCGAGACAGGGUUUCUCUGUAUAGCCCUGACUGUCCUGGAACUCACUUUGUAGACCAGGCUGGUCUUGAACUCAGAAAUCCACCUGCCUCUGCCUCCCAAGUUCUGGGAUUAAAGGCGUGCACCGCCGCCACCACCACCGCCCGGCUUAAAUAUUCUUGUAUAACCACCAUUCUCCCUAUUGCUUUUGGAUGUCAAAUCCCUUAUCUUAUCUUUCGAGGUCUAACUAAGAUACUAUUUCAUCAGCUUAAACUUGGUCCAAAGUCCCUGUGCACCCAUGAUCAGAGCUCCUCACUAAAUCCUUAGAGCAGUUUGUCCAUCAUUCUUUGAGGAUUUUUUUUUUGAGACAAUACUUUCACUUAUGUACAAAUAGAGGAGUGUGGACCAGUCGGUGAGGGUACUGAGAAAAGUGUGGAAUAGCCUACACAAGCGGGAGGAGGCUAGUGGUAUGUGGGUGCUUACUUCCAUAAUCCCAAAAUAGAAACUGGUGCCAGAAAUCUCAAGGCUUUGGGUAAUUUUCUGAAAGAUGUGUCCUUGUUAUACACAUAGGGUUAAGAAAGAAUAAGCCUACCUUUUGUUUUUUUUCUGAAGCCUACAGAAGAAGAAUAAAAUGAAAACUCAAAUACUAUCAAGCUGAAGGCUAAGAGGGGGCUGAUUUCCUGGAAGCCAGGGCUGAGGACCAAGGAAGUGAUCAGACGGGCGCUAACACUCUUUCCCAAAUGGAGCUGAGAGCCAGCGGUUUCCUAUUACUGCAUCCAGGAGUGGGAGGUCCCUUCCUGUAAGCUACCUAGAAAGCAUUUCUGCUCUUAACUGCUCUAUUAGGAUAAUUUACAUUCAUGAUGAAUGGAACCAUUCCUUCCCGAAUUAGCCUGAGUGGCUCCAUCAAGGGCAGAUGUGAGCUGUUCUAUUUGCUGCAGAGAGCAGCGUUACAACACCGUUACCCUCCUUACGUCUGAGCCUGCUGCUUCUAGCUGCCCCUAGUAGCUUCCCCCAAGGAUUUUUUUUUUUUGACAAAACAAAUCUGAGCUUGC